rnacentral:ncRNA from 1 species
AGUUGAUAUGUGAUAUCAAUUUAUUUUCAUGAAGUACACAGAUCAUUCAUUAGAGAUGUUCAUAUGGCAUGUUGUGUUGAAGAAAAUGCUGAAAGUAAUACUUACUAGUACUGGGAUGUUAAAAAAUUAAAAAUAUACAGUAGUGAUCAAAGCAGGCUCUCAAGCCUGGAUAAUGGUGCAUGGAAUAGGACCUCGAUUCUAUUUUGUUGGUUUUCGGAGUGCGAGGUAAUGAUUAAGAGCUACAGACGGGGGCAUUCGUACUGUGCCAGUAGAGGUGAAAUUCUUGAAUCGGCGCAAGACGAAUGACUGCCAAAGCAUUUGCUAAGAAUUUUUCUUUAAUCAA